AAAUCAAAUUCAGUUAGUCUGGGCUGGAACCAGAACUCUGUGUGCUUAGUAAGAGCCGCACGUGAUUGUAACGAUAAAGCAUGGCUGGGAAGCUGCUGUACACAGUAGCAGUGUAUGCAGUUUUCUAUCAUUGCCUUUUGUAUAUAAUCGUUUAUUUAUAUAAUCAUUGACAAAAGCAUAGCUUUUUUUUUUAUUACUUUUCUACUCUGGUGUUUCAAUCCCUCUAAGGCUUGAAGUAUUUAAUCCGCAUGACUGAAUACAUCUCACAGUGAGGUAGAUGUUUUGGGGAGGCACACAGAGCAAAGUGUUUUUGACUGGACUGAAUGUUUAGAAUCUCUGCUUCUCCCAGAUAUCUCCGUCUUGCUUUUGAUAAUGAAGACAUUAACUUUCACAGCAAAGGCAAAACAUUAAAUGGUCUGGAAAUCAGCAGAAAUUUCAAUUCCACACACACACACACACGCACGCACGCACGCAUGCUCACCCCACGAUGUUCAGCAAUCUCAAAGCCCUGGCUACAGGAGGAACGAUAUCCCUUCAGCAGAAUCAUACGGUGGUCUGCUUCCUGCCUGGAAACUGGGAACUGCACUCAUCCUUUCUCUUAUGGACAUCACCUGAUGGUCUGAGAGCCGCAUCCAAUCCCACUUCCCUUAACUCUUUAUUCUGCGGGGAUUGCUGUGUGGCAGCACGCUCCAAGUUCCCCACACUCACCUUUUGAGGGCACAGUUCUUUUCAUUGACUCUUGUUGCUACUGGCCGUGGACUGCUGACUUUCCUUCUUGCUACAGGGAGAUCCUCACUCUCCCCACCUCUGCUUGGCUCCACAGUCAAAUCCCCACUUUCUCUGAGGGUAACCAAGAAUGUGACUAACAGUGGCAUGAAUCACAAGGACAGUUAUUGUUUACUGAACCAGAUGUAUGAAGAUACAUGUUCCAGGACUGAUUUACUAGCUCAACAAGGAUCCAGAGACCUCACUCUUUCUGUUCUGCCAUCCUCUGCAGCUUGGCUUUUUGUCAUCCGCCUUGUGGUUUCACAGUCUUGAGAAAUAGGCUGUAGCUCCAGCUAUCAAGUCCUUGCUCUAAUAGUUAAAACAGGAAGCAGGGUACAGUAUGGGGCCAAUAGGGACCUUUAUCUCAGCCAGAUCUCAUCCUUUAUCAACAAGUGGAAACAUUUCCAGAUUCUUCCCUAUUUUUCCUGUAAUUUAUCCUUAGCCUGAAUUUGGUCCAUAUCCACCCUUAGAGAAGGUCCAGUCCACUUCUCUGAGUCCAAGUAAGAUUCUCCACCCAGUUCCAGUGUGUGUGUGUGUGUGUGUGUACGGAGGUUUACCACACCACCAAGAAAUUCUCUGACAUCAGCUGGGUGUCCUACAAUUUAAUUCAAUUCUGACACUGUCUACCUGGAGAUAGCAUCAGAUUCCACAGGUUAAGGACUCAGUCCUAUGAGACUGACCCCUCCUCCAACUUCAGACAUCAAUUGCAAGGUUGUCGCCCGUGCUUCUGACCAACCAGCUAUAGAUCAGAAAUUCCAAUGACCCUCCUCCACCACCACCACCUCCUUAGGUUCAAUUAAUUUGCUAGAGCAGCAAACAGAACUCAGAGAAACAUUUUACUUACCAUAUUACUGGUUUAUUGUGAGAGAUAUAACUCAGGAAUAGGCAGAUGGAAGAGCUGCACAAGGCAAGGUUUGGGGAAAGGGUGCAGAGGUUCCAUGCUCUCCAGACACCACUCUCCCCAAAUCUCCACGUGUUCGCCAACGCAGAAGCUCUCUGAACCUCAUCCUUUUGGAUUUUUAUGGAGGUUUCAUUACAGAGACGUGAUUGAUUAAAUCAUUGGCCAUUGAUGAUUGAACCCAAUCUCCAGCCUCUCUCCCCUCCCUGGAGGUCAUGGGGAGUGGGACUG
ensembl:lncRNA